AGGAGAGAAAGAAAGAGAAAAAAGAGAACAAUUUUUGAAAAAGGGGGGCGCAAGUAACAUGUUGGGGAAGAAGAAUGGUUCGAAUGGGUCUUCUUCUUCUUCUUUCCCAUUUCUUUUUGUCCUUUUGAUGUUUUUUGUUCUUUUGAUAUGCGUCGGGGGAGAACAAAAGAGAGAAGAGAGAGAAGAAGAAGAAGAAGGUGUUUUUUCAAAAGAGAAAGUCAAUUUUGUUCGGAAAGAUCUUUUUUUCGAUUCUUCUCUUGAUUCUGAUUCUCUCAUCAAGUUUUGGACAAAAGAGAGAAUGGAAGCGGCAAAACCAA
rnacentral:ribozyme from 13 species